AGUCGACGAACAUCUUAUUCUGAUUUCUUCGGAAUGAAAAAUUUGGUGACUGAGUGGCGGACGGGUGAGUAACGCGUGGGUAACCUGCCUCAUACAGGGGGAUAACAGUUAGAAAUGACUGCUAAUACCGCAUAAGACCACAGCACCGCAUGGUGCAGGGGUAAAAACUCCGGUGGUAUGAGAUGGACCCGCGUCUGAUUAGGUAGUUGGUGGGGUAACGGCCUACCAAGCCGACGAUCAGUAGCCGACCUGAGAGGGUGACCGGCCACAUUGGGACUGAGACACGGCCCAAACUCCUACGGGAGGCAGCAGUGGGGAAUAUUGCACAAUGGGGGAAACCCUGAUGCAGCGACGCCGCGUGAGCGAUGAAGUAGUUCGCUAUGUAAAGCUCUAUCAGCAGGGAAGAUAGUGACGGUACCUGACUAAGAAGCUCCGGCUAAAUACGUGCCAGCAGCCGCGGUAAUACGUAUGGAGCAAGCGUUAUCCGGAUUUACUGGGUGUAAAGGGAGUGUAGGUGGCCAGGCAAGUCAGAAGUGAAAGCCCGGGGCUCAACCCCGGGACUGCUUUUGAAACUGCAGGGCUAGAGUGCAGGAGGGGCAAGUGGAAUUCCUAGUGUAGCGGUGAAAUGCGUAGAUAUUAGGAGGAACACCAGUGGCGAAGGCGGCUUGCUGGACUGUAACUGACACUGAGGCUCGAAAGCGUGGGGAGCAAACAGGAUUAGAUACCCUGGUAGUCCAC
rnacentral:rRNA from 1 species